rnacentral:rRNA from 1 species
UACGAAUGGAGCGAGCGUUGUUCGGAAUCACUGGGCGUAAAGCGUGCGCAGGCGGUUGUGAAAGUCAGAAGUGAAAUCCCAGGGCUCAACCUUGGAAUUGCUUUUGAAACUUCACGACUAGAGUACUGGAGGGGUUGGCGGAAUUUCGAGUGUAGCAGUGAAAUGCGUAGAUAUUCGAAGGAACACCGAUGGCGUAGGCAGCCAACUGGACAGUUACUGACGCUCAUGCACGAAAGUAUGGGGAGCAAAC